rnacentral:lncRNA from 1 species
UCUUUGCUCUUCGCCGUCACCGCAACCACCGUUCCCUCAAAUCAAAAUACCAUGUCGGACGAAGAGCACCAUUUCGAAUCCAAGGCCGACGCCGGAGCCUCCAAAACCUACCCUCAACAAGCCGGUACCAUCCGUAAAAACGGUUACAUCGUCAUCAAAAACCGUCCUUGCAAGGUCCGUAUCCACAUUCUAAUUCCUUUUUUAAUUAGGUUUUUACUAAAUUAAUCAUUGAUUUGAUUUCAUGUAUUUGAUUAGAUCCAGUUUUUCUGCUUCACUGUUUUGGUUUCAUAUUUAAUUUAUUUUUUCUAUGUUGAAAUCUAUGUUUUUUUAUUGAUUUAAGUUCAAAAUUAAUCAUGAUUUUGAUUUGAUUUGUUCAAUUUUUGAGUAAAUUAAUCUAUGUUUCUGUUGCUUCACUGUUUUUGUUCAAUUUUUGAUGGAUUUGUGAGUUGAAUUUUCUGUUAUUGAUUUCCUUUUAUCAAUUAAUCAUCCGUUUGAUGGCUAUUUUUCUGAAAAUUAGUGUAUGUUUGGAAUUAGGGUUUUGGUGAAGGGAGUUUAAGAUGGCUAUGUCUAUAUUCUGUUAUAUAUUUGAGAUUUAAACAUUUCAAUCACAAUUAAUUUAUUUUUAGUAUAAUUUUAGAGUUUCUUUAAUUUAUCCUUAAUAUUGAAAAGAAAAAUAAGUCUUCCCCGUUUUCUUAAUAUUAGGUGAGUCUGCUUACUGAAAAUGGGAACACUAAGGAUGACCUCAAGCUUCCUACCGAUGACAGUCUACUCACUCAGGUUUGUACAGAUCUCAUGAUUCCUUGUUUGAAUUUACCAAUAUGGUGUUAUUUUUAUGUCUUUUGUAUCGUGUGUUUGAGUAAUAUGUGUUACUUGAUUGCAGAUUAAGGAUGGAUUUUUAUUUGUGUAACAAUACGGAAUUUAGAUAUGAUGUGAUUUUCUGUUGGGAUUGUGAGAAUUUGGAAUCUUUAAUGUUUCAGUGCUUAUUGCUUAUUCGUUUAACAGUAAGGAACUUAGAUAUGAUGUGAUUGUUUAUAGGAGUGUGAAAAUUUGUAGUUAUAAUGUUUAAGUGCACAAUCCUUUUACAGUAAGGAAUUAUAAUAGAAAAAAAAAAAAUUCUACCUGAAAGUUCAUGAUUUUUUCUAAAAAUAUAUGCCUGUGAAGAGUUUUUAUUUCCUUUCAUUUAACAUGUUUUUUUGUUGUACGACAGGGGAAGAAAAAGGAAGGAAAUGCUGCUAAAUUUGUCACUAGGAAUCAUGCUCUCAAGCAGCUUCAAAUCAGUCUACCCCUUUUCAGGUUCCAUAUGCUCAUAUAUAUAUAUAAACCAACAUUAAUGCUAUAUAUGAUAAUUUUCUUUUUCCCGAAAUGUCAUGAAGCACAUUCUGCUUUAAAGAAAAUUGCAAAAACUGUUCUACACCUGAAUUGGGCGAAAAACAUGGCAAUGAAAGUGAAAUAGCAAAUCAUAAUGAUUUGUGCUGUAAUUGUGAUGGUUACUUUCGUGACAUGAAUCAUUAUCCAUAAACCAAUUUAUGGGGCUUUUGUAGGAAAAGAAGGGUUUCUUUGGGUUAAAUUUCUCUUAGCUUGAUUACAUAUACAUAUUUUUUGUUAUCAUUAUUGAUCUAAUCUGUUAUCAUUUUGAAUAUGCAUAUAUUUAGCGUUACUCUUAAAUAUUUUGAAAAGUUAAUAUGGUUAAAUGUGAAGUUGAUUUUUUGUAAAUUUUAGGAAGCUGUGCAUUUUGAAAGGUGUAACUCCCCGGGAGCCUAAGAAAAAGUUAGGACGUCAGACUUGCUACCAUGUGAAGGAUAUAAGCUUUCUACAUCACGAGCCUUUGCUGGAAAUACAUAGAGCAAUAAGAGUACAUGAAAGAAAAAUUAAGAAAGCAGAGGCAAAGAAAAACAUUGAACGUGCAAAGAGGUUACGUGAUAAAACACCCAAACCCAAGUUAGAUAGGAUUAUUCGACAAAGGUUUGUUUGUUUUGGUUUUUUCCUUUCUAAAUUUCAAUUUAUGUCCUGUAGCCGGCGACAUAUUUCCAAUCUUUUUCUUCUCAUUCUUUGAAUUAUAGGUACCCAAGAUUUGGGGAUGCACUUGGAGAAUUGGAUGGCUGCCUUACAAUGGUACAUCUUUUUGCAGCAUUACCUGCGACUGAGAGCAAAAAAAUUGAUGUGGAGCGUGUCCAUAAAUGUCGAAGGUAUGUACAUGGAAUUAUAAUAACUUUAAAUUGAUUUGUCAUAAAGAAUUUAGGCCUUUGUGCCUAAAUCUUUACUUUGAAAAUAACAACUAGGGGAUUAGAUUUUUAUAUUAAAAUCUUGUCAUUUACAUUAAUUUUCUUUUACCUUAUGCUGUAAUAAUAUUUAUAUUCUUUUGUUUAUUGCAUGCACGUAUUCAUGCUGUAAUAAUUUUUAUAUUUAUCUUCUUUUGUUUAUUGCAUGCCCGUAUUCUAGAUUGGCGCAUGAAUGGCAAGCAUACAUAUCUCGUACUCACAGGUUAAGAAAAACAUUUGUAUCUGUUAAAGGCAUAUACUACCAGGUACUGAUUGUGGCAUUUGUUAUGUUAAUCAAUCAUAAUUGUACAUUUUAUUGAUUUAUUAUGUUGUUUGUGCAGGCUGAAGUCGAGGGUCAGACAAUAACAUGGUUAACUCCUCAUUCACUGCAGCAGGUUGUGUCUGAUGAUGUUGACAUCCCCACCAUGCUUAACUUUCUGCAAUUAUAUGAGGUCAGUUUAGUUUUAUGUUUGUAUUAAGUGUCUUCAUUUUUUGAUAAAUAAUCAAUGUCCAUAUCAUCCGAAGUAAUAGGAUAAUAGAUCUAAAUAUUUUAAUCAUGUAAACAUUUAAUUUGAAUAUGUUCUGCUGUGUUACGAUUAUCAUGUGGUUCAUGUAUAAAACAAAUUUAGUUAGUCAACUUAAGUUCAUGUACUAAUUGGUAUGGUAAACUUCUACUUUCUAAUGAAUUGCUGCAGCCUCUUCUUGCUCGAUCCUCGCUUGGAGGCGUUGGCAGCAGGUACCAUUUUCUCAACUUUUAUGGAAUUUGGUGAACUUGAAUUGCUGCAGAGAUUUGAUGUAUCUGCCGAUCAAUUUUCUUUUUAAACUUUGUAGAUCUAUAUGCAUUGUCAAGAUAUGCCAAUGCCGACAACAGACCCGCAAUACUGAGUUCUGAAGCUUCUCAAUUAGUUGAAUCUGAACAAGGGGGGAACAAGAAAACUGAGGCAGAGACUGAAAAUGAAAAAUCUGAACUUAGACUUGCUCAACUUCAGAAUCAACUUCCGUCUAAUGAACCCGGUGCACUAAUGCACCUUGUUGAGAAAGCUGCAGGUGAUGAUGAAGAGGAAUAUGAUCAAGAGACACGAGAAUGCAAAAAUCUCUUUCGAAAUGUCAAAAUUUUCUUGAGCAGGGAGGUAGGACCUUAAAGCAUUUGCAUUUAAUUUUGCAAUAUAAAUUAUUAGAAAAUAUAAAAAGUUGAUGUUUGGAAUAGUGAAGUUAAAAAAGGGUUAGGUCUCAAAGUAUUAUACUUGGAAGUAUUAACAUAUAUAAAAAUCCCAAGAUUAUUAGUAAGUGAAUGGAGUCUCCAACACUGUAAUUGAAAGGGACACAGUUCCAGGUGACACUCUCACAUACCAACCUCGGUUCUACUUUUUUUUUUCUCUUUACUCUUUCAAGUUUUCCAUCUAAAUAAAGUAUACUUGAAAAGGAAGUAAGAGAAUGAUGAGUGAGUAUUUGAUAUAUCUUAAAAUAUUUAAUCCAUCAUAUACCCAUACCAUAUAACUUUCUCUCUCUGACUUUUAAUUAUUUAAUUUUCCUUUAAGGCCUACUUCACUUUUUCUCUGUUGCAGCUUUGAGUCUAUAAAUAAAUAAAUAAAUAAAAUUUGUCCUAUUUCUGUUUGAUAAGUAAUAUAUUAAUUUGCCAAUUUAGUGCUGGAUCACUCACUGUCUCCAACUUUAUGGCCGAUUAGAGUGUGAAUACGCUAUGAUUAAACCUUAGAUCCCAAGGCUUCAACAAACCAAAGCUCUCUGAUAUUUUGAAGUCAUAGCAACCACGCUAUUAUACUUGGAAGUAUUAACAUAUAUAAAAAUCACUUCACGAUAAGACAGUUGAGUGGUUUACACAUUUUCUAUUGGAAUGUCUCAUAGAGAUGCCAAUCAGGGUUGGGACAAACACUUCAACUAUUAUGACUAAACAUGGUCACUGCAAUGUCUUGUUUUCAUUUUGUAUUUGUGGAGUUUCAUUGGUCAGUUAUAUGUAGGUACCAGAAGUAAGCUUUUUCUGAGGCUUAUGACAUGCUCGUAUAUUAAAAAGUUGAUGAAGCUAACAAUGCAAUGCCCAUUAAAAACUUAGCCUUUAUUGUGUAUAUUUUGACAUUGCCUGCAUCUGUUGUGGUUUAAUUGUUCAGGUACCAAGGGAAUCAUUGCUUCUUGUUAUUCCUGCUUUUGGUGGUAAAGUUUCAUGGGAGGGAGAGGGGGCUCCUUUUGGGGAAUCAGACCAGAGCAUUACUCACCAGGUUUGUGAUUUAGGUGACAUAACUUUUUUGAACUUUGUUUUAGGUUCACUUAGCUAAUUCUUUCAUUUCUUUAGAUCGUUGAUCGGGAAUCACAAGGACAUAGGUUCCUCUCAAGAGAAUAUGUUCAACCACAGUGGGUAUUUGAUUGUGUGAAUGCACGCAUAAUUUUGCCAACAGAAAGUUAUAUGGUUGGAAGGUAACUUCUAAUUCAUCUGCGCUAUAGUAUACUGACUUCUCACCUCUGUUGUACAGUUUAUAACCCCAUUUGGCGUUGAUUGUGGUGGUUUACAAUUCCUUUAUUUUACAAUGUAGACAUUGUUAAUAUAUUGCUUCUCACCUAAAUUAGUACGUGGGCCUCUGUUCUUUGGUAAUUGAUGUUGUAUUAUCUGUGAUUAUUUUUUAGGUUCAUUUUAUUUGUGAUUAUUUGGUCGGCAUGUGCUAAUUUUGGUCUGAGGAAAAUAAUUUGUUCUACAAGGGAUCAUGAUAUCUUAAUUUUUUGAAAAAUGGAUAAUAUUUUGCUAAUUAAAAAUAUAAUAUUUUAAAUUUCGAAAAAAAUCCACAUGUAUAAUAAUACACAUAUACUGACAGUACAAAGUCCCAUAGGCUGUGGAAUAAAUCUUACCGGUCAUGCAGAUUUUAGUGUCAAUCUCUUUAAAAUAUAUAUACCCAACCUCAUAUAGUAAGUUGUGUCACAUUGGAUGUAUUAUUAUUAUUGUUGAUGUUGUUGUAAAUUAUGAUACAACAUCAAAUCUACACGACUUGUGUAUAAAAUCAAUUAUUUAGGGUUGGUUUACUUUGUGAAAACAUUGUGUUUUCAUUUUCUGAAAUGUGCUCAUUUUACCGUGAUAAGAGACUCUUGAAGUGAACGAAUGUCAUAGAGAAUGUGAAAUGCUAGUUAAUGAAGAUGCAUUUAUGGAAAUAAUGAAAAUAAUUGACAUGUUCAUUUUUUUCUAUAAACGUAGACAAUUGUUAACUUCAGUAAUUGUUAACUUCAGUAAUCUGUUACUGUCUUAUUAACAAGUAAAAUAAAUACAAAUUUUAAGAAAUGAAAAUAGGAAAGGCUUUCCCAAAUUAAACAGGCCCUUAGUUGUCGUUGCCAAUGUCAAGUCAUCAUCAAUCAUUCAUUAACUUGAGAGUCAAGAUCAGAAAAAAUCUUACAUAUAUUUGUUUGUAUUUCCGCGAGAGUACAUUUUUAUUAUAUUCAAAGAAAAGUGUCUAUAUUAAAGAAAAAGCCUAUCAUAUCCGACUUUAACGAAAUUUUUCUUGUUAAAAUGCUUCUUUUAUUAACAGAAUUCCUCCACCGCACUUGUCCCCGUUCGUUAACUAUGACGAAGAAGGGGCAUAUGUUCCGGAGUAUGCAAAGACCAUUAAACACUUGCAAGCUGCUGCCAGAAAGGAAGUCCUUCCACUUCCAGGUGUUGAAAAAGAUCUCGAAGAUCCUCAAAAUCUUCUGGCUGACGGUAUCAUUGAUCGAGCAGAGGCUAACGAAGCGGCUAAGAGAAAGCAGAAGGUAUGCAUACUGAGACACGAACAGUGCAUAUUGAUUGGAGGCUAUCAUUCUAUGUUUUACUUUGUUGAUAAUAAUAUGUAAGUAAUUCCAUUUCAAUUGUUGUCUUGCAGAUGAUGAUUCUAGAGAAGCAAUACCAUGAGGAUUUGAUGAAAGAACUUCAGGGUGCUACAUAUACUUCAGCAGGUUCUACUGCUGAAAAAGAAACAUCUACUGGAUUGAUUCAGACAGCUGAAUCAACGAACAAUGGUCAAGAAAAUGUUGAUGAUUUGACUAAACUUAUGAUGUCUCGUAAAAAGAGGAAGCUAUUAGAAGCCAUGCAGGUACACCUAUUUGUAUCCUCUUUAUACAGAUUUGAAUUUCUUAUCCAUAUUAGUUCUAUUGUUUGUGUACUUCUUUUACUUUUCAAAUUAUCUAUCUGAACUUGCCAUUUGACCAUUACUAUUCUAUUUAAUCCAUAUUCCUAUUUAACCGGUGGGAAAGUGGCAGGUUGUCUUGUAGUUACAAUAAUGUUGCCUUUUUUUAAUUUGUUUUGAUGUUCAUAACUUUUGUUGUUGAAAUGUGUCACUCAGAUAUCGAAUGAGCGCAAGCAAGCUAAAAAUGAUCUUAUCAAACACCGGAAAAAGAAAAUCGACGAAGCUCAGAAUCAAAGGAGUUGAAAGGAAUCUACGUUCUCAAAGGGUUUCAGCUAUAUGCCAUUUCAUUUUGCUAUAUAGGUGCUAGCUGAUUUAUAAGGCUAGUUUUCUUUUGUUGUUUUCCAGUAUAACUUAUUUUAUUUAGUAUCUCUUCUUUCUGUUUUGUAACAUGUUUUGGAAGGGCCAAAGAACAUUUUGAUUUUUUUUAUCUACUAGUUAUACCUUGAUCUACUAGGGUGUGUAAGAAACUGAGUAAAUCCAGUGAACAAUGCUAACUAGUUUGGUUUGGAAUGCAGACGAAAGGCUUUUAUAUCUAAGGAUGUUAAAUGCAGACGAAAGGCUUUUAUAUCUAGCACUUGCGUAAUCAGGUGAUUUUAAAAUUAGAGCAUAAAUGGUACACUACGGAACUAACAAACAGUGCAAAAUUUCAAAAAGUAUGUCCGUGAUUUGGAAUGCUUUAUAUACUUUGUUCAUGUCAGUGCAAAUGAUUGAAUACAUGUGUCAUUUAAAAUUACAAUGGCAACCCCUAAAUACUUCAGUUAAAAAGUAGACAUAAUCAAUAAUACGAGAGGAAAACUUACUAUCAAUUGAGAACAAACACAAGCUUUGAACAUUCCUUAAGAUGUUUUAGAGAUGAAAAUUUACAGACAGAAGGUUCACUGGUUCACAUGAGCAGAGAUGAAUCAACUAAAUGAUAUAAGCUAAUCUCUAACUGAUUUAAAAAGGCCUAUAGUCAAGUAAUUUUCAUCUAUAUUUUCCUAUUUUUGGCACCUCUAACUUUAAUCUGGGAUAUCUAUUAAAAUAUUGAUCAAUAGGUAGUGCUACUAAACAAUAUCAACUUGUUUCAAUUGGAUAUGAUCUUGAUUUCUAAGUCACUCUCCAUUCCGAAAUUUCCCAACAGCUGCAUCCUCAACCAAUUAUGAUGAUUUCAAAUACAUAAAUAAGUAAUCAACUAGUUCACAACAUGAAUUUCAAUGUGUGUACCUCAUUUGUUCAGCUAUCAUAAUUUCAAUCUCUGCCAAUUGAGGAUUAUCCGUGUCAUUCAUGAAAAUAUUAACAUCACCAACCAUAGCUGCAAAUAGCAUAUAUAUAUAUAUAUAUAUAUAUAUAAGUCUCCAAUGUUAAUAAAUUGAACAAUAAUGAAUUAAAGGUCACCAUGAAUUAAAAGUCUCUAGAGUUGAUAAAUUAUGUGAUCAUGCAAUGGCCAUCCGCUCAUUUUCUAUGAACUUUCAUAUAAGUGAUUAUAUUGUUGAGAAUCAUUGAAACGAGUCUAUGAUCAACCAGGUCCUUCUUAAUAACAUUUGUAUCAUAAUUGCAAGUCUUAAGCCUCCUUUUGCAGGAUGAUUUCCCUAUAUGGAAGUUUUUUAAUGAAAAUUUAUUCACUAUUAAUUUUUGUCAAGAGAGCAUCAUACUCCUUUUGAGUCCCCUAAUUUUAAUCUGGUGUGGAAAUGAAUUGGACCUCCCAGAUUUCAUACAUUUCUUUUAAAAGUUUUCACACAAACAACUUCUAACUAAUGCCAAAAGAAACCAUUGGGGUAUAUCUGAUAAUAUGGUUUGCAUCAGAUGCUCCCAAGUUUCGGAAACUAUUAUGCACGUUCUUAGAGAUUUUAAUGUGGCACAUAGUCUUUGGAAAAACUUUAUUACUAUGGAGAGUGAGCAAUCAAGUUCCUUUUUUAGACUCACGCUUCCUCAAUGAAUUGGCUUUAAUCUUACGGUAGUUGAUGUUAGUUUGAUCAGAGGCCAUUGGCCUCUGGUGUUUGGAAUCAUGGUAAAUUGUGGAUGGAUAGGAACCAAGUAGUUUUAUCAAGAACACCACUUAAUGCUAAAAAAAUUUGUAAUCUUUUUAUAGAAAACCUUUCUCCAUUCAUCAACAUCUUUACCUUUGUCCUCCUUCCUUUUUUAGAGGAUCGUAAGAGAGAGAUUAAUGUUAAAUGGUAUCCUCCAAAAUUCUUUUAAGCUCAACAUUGAUGGUUCUUAUCACAACACAACAGGUCUCAUUGCUUGUGGAUGGAUUAUUAGAGAUCAUAAAUGAGUUUAUAUUCACGGUUUUUUUUGCAAUCUCGGUUGAGCUACAUUUGUGUUAGCUAAACUGUGGGGCUUGUUUCAUGGUCUUAUAAUGACAUGUAGUUCGGUUUUGACUACAAUUUUGGUGAAAUGAACUCUCAUAUGGUAGUCAACAUGAUUUGGUCGAGGGAAAUGGGUAAUCUCUAUCUUACGCCGCUUCGUCAAGAAGUAAUCUCUAUUGUACACGAGGAACGGAAUUGGGUGGUUAAUCAUGUCUAUCUUGAGACUAAUCAAUGUGCAGAUAAGCUAGCUAACCUUAAUCUCAUUUGAGAUUUUAAUUUUAUUGACCCAUGUACUCCUUUUCCUAGUGUAUUACUUCUUAUUGAUGAUGAUUAUAGAGGGAUGUAUUUAUCUCGUUUCUUUCUCGUAAGUUUUCUUUGUAAUUUUCCCUUUUAUCAUGGAGAAAAAGGAAUGUUACUCAACUAAUAAGAUCUUAUCAAAACACAACAGGUCUCAUUGCUUCAUGAUGGCUUAUUAGAGAUCAUAAAGGAGUUUAUAUUUGUGAUUUCUUUUGCAAUCUUGGUCGAGCUACAUAUGUGUUAGCUGAACUUUGGGGCCUGUUUCAUGGUCUUAUAAUGACAUGUAGUUUGAUUUUGACUACUAUUUUGGUGGAAAUGAACUCUCAUAUUGUAGUCACCAUGAUUCAGUCAAGGAAAAUGAAUAAUAUAUAUUUUAUGCCGCUUCAUCAAGAAGUCAUCUCCAUUGUAAACCAGGAAUGGAUUUGUGUGGUUAAUCAUGUCUAUCUUGAGACUAAUCGAUGUUAAUAAGCUAGCUAAUCUUAAUCUCAGUUGAGAUUUUAAUAUUAUUAACCCACUUACUCCUCUUUAUAGUGUGUUACUUCUUAUUGAUGAUGAUUAUAGAUGUAUGUAUUUCUCUCGUUUCUUUCUCGUAAGUUUUCUUUGUAAUUUUCCCUUUUAUCAUGGGAAAAAAAAAAAGGAAUGCUACUCAAAGAAUAAGAUAUGGAGUUUCAAAUUCGAUUCAAACCCCAAAAUCAAUGUCCUAAAAGUAUAUCCUUGAUAAUUCCGCUUCAGACCCUUUUAUUAACAAAAUCAAUGUCCCUUUUAACAAUUUUGGAGCUUUUAUAGUACAUUCAUUAAUCGAAGAGUUUUGGUACAUUUUUUCUCUAAAUCAAUAAAUUAAGGAUAAUUUUAAUGAAUCAAAUAGUUAUUUAUUGACUUUUGUAUUUUAUAAAAGAUCAUUUCAUAUGAAAAAAAAAACGAUUUUGUUGUUUAUAAGUACUAUACUAGUUUUUUCUAUUUUAUUGUAAAAAUAUUCAAUAUUCACAAUUAUGAUUUAUUUGACUUACACUUUUGAUAAAUAAUAUUUAGUUAUUAUAAUUAUAUAAAUAAUAGGAAUUAUUUUUUUCCUAAAAAAUUCAAUUAACUAUUAAUUUAAAUAUCAAAUGUAUUGAUACAUGUCAAAUUAAUUGAUUUACUGAAGAAAUGCUCUUUCAAAAUAGUUCCGUCGCUAAAUUAAUCCACUUACAAUAAAAAUAUAGAUGAGUACAAGAGAAGAUUUCAAUAAUUAAUCCUAAGCUAAAUUAGACUUUUAGUCCCUCAACUUAGAUUUUGGUUUCAAUUUAAUCUCCUAAUCAUUUUCAUUUUGUUUUAGUCUCUUACAUAUACUUUUGUUAGUCAAGUUGGUCAUAUCUGUUAAUUUUUGAAAUCUUCUCUUGUGCCCAUCUAUAUUUUUGUUCUUCUUCAACCUAAAAGUAGUGGUUUUGUUCCUCUUUUCAACUGUACUCUGCAUAACUUGUGACUAAUUUUGUUCACAGCGAGAACACUAAUAAAUACAUAUGAAGAACAAAAUGGAUGAAUUGAAGUGACAUCAUUCAAAAAAAAAGUCAAGUUAAAUUCUCCAAAAAGAUCUAGAAAAUGUCUAUUUAUUAGCAUGACAUUAUCAUCAUUUUGCAAUUUGAUGGUACACACAAACCAUUUAAACAUACGGAUUGUGUGGCAUCAAAGUAGUAUCAAAAGAUUACAAUGAUAGUAAGUAAUAGUAUCACAAGAUUCGUUAGAAGAAUACCAUCUUCCACUACAUUUGAUUUGUUAAAUUGUCCAAUUACCAAAGAUCUUUAACCAUUUUCAAAUGUUGAAAUAAGGGUUCCUACAACAAGGAGAUGAAAACUUAAAACUCAAACAUGGAUACAACCGAGACAUAUAUCGCAAAUCCUAAUAAAUAAAACACGAAUAUUUGCUAUAAUAUCACUUGUUGGAGAUUCCAAUGGUGAUAGUUACUCCGCAUACCAAAAACCUUAAGGCAUAUCUCCACCCACCUAAAUCCCAAUAAAGUUGAUGUUGCAAUCACUUCCAACUUCAAAGACAUUCUUGAUGUGGAAGAUUUUACCACAUCCUUGGUCAUGUGAGAAGAUUGAAAGCAAAUAAAUAAAGUGUGCAUCAGAUGCUUUUUAUGUUGUACGAACCAUGUGCUAACACAUGCAUACUCAAUUUUAAAAUAUAUCUACAGUUUUACGAUCACUUGAUUUUCUAGGCAAUUCAACUUCAAAAUUUAUGCUAAAUGAUAUGGUUUAAAGGUGUGCUAUAACAAAUUCAAUAACAAAACUUGUAGAAACAAUGAUAUAACCAUCCAUCAUCCAUCAGUUACAUGACUAAAGUAAAUUUAACUAUUGAAUAAAGACCUCUUAUACUUUUUCUUUGUUUAGCUAUUAGUUUGUUCUCUCAUCCAUCAUCCAACACUAUUUUUGCAACACCUCAUAAGUGGUCCCUGAAAUCUAAAUGGGAACAACAAAAAUGUUGUACUGCAUAUAAAAAACCAAAACAAAUGCUAAAAGGUGUGGAAUAAUUUGAUAAAAUGUCCUAUUAAACAAGUAUUUAUUUCACAAAAGUUUUUGGAUAGAAUAAUUUGUCCAAAGAACAAAGGUGUGGAAUCAGAAACAUGACGUGUGAAAGGAGUAAAGAACAUUGAAACUAUAUCAAUAGAAUACCAUAUAUUGAAUAUGAGGUAUAGAUGUUUAUUUAUUAGCAACAGUAGUACAGAAGCUAACUUGCAAAAGUUAUGAUGUACAAUGAGUUUUUGUUUAAGCCAUAUGUGUUUUAACUUGAAGAAAAUGUUUCCUAAUAAAGGACUUUGUAGCUCCUUUAACACAUGCUAAAAUGUCCUAUUAAACAAGUAUUUAUUUCACAAAAGUUUUUUGAUAGAAUAAUUUGUCCAAAGAAGAAAAGGUGUGGAAUCAGAAACAUGACGUGUGAAAGGAGUAAAGAACAUUGAAACUAUAUCAAUAGAAUACCAUAUAUUGAAUAUGAGUUAUAUAUGUUUAUUUAUUAGCAACAGUAGUGCAUAAGCUAAGUUGCACAAGUUAUGAUGUACAAUGAGUUUUUGUUUAAGCCAUAUGUGUUUUAAUUUGAAGGAAAUGCUUCCUAAUAAAGGACACUCCAACUCCUUUAACAUAAGCUAAAAUGUCCUAUUAAACAAGUAUUUAUUUCACAAAAGUUUUUUGCUAGAAUAAUUUGUCCAAAGAACAAAAGGUGUGGAAUCAGAAACUGAAAGGAGUAAAGAACAUUGAAACCAUAUCAAUAGAAUACUAUAUAUUGAUACGAGGAAUAUAUGUUUAUUUAUUAGCAAGAGUCGCAUAGAACCUAUCUUGCACACAUUAUAAAAAGUAAUUACAGCUUGAAAAACAUGAAAUCAAAUAAUGUUGAGCAACAACAGAAUGAAGCAACUGAAGAAGGUAACAUAGAUCUCCUCUACAAAAUAAUUAAAGAUGAUCAAUCAAUUUUGGAGAGUAUCGAUUCGAAACAAUUUGUGGAAACUCCUUUACAUAUCGCUGCAGCUAUGGGUCGUAUCCAGUUCGCCAAUGAAAUUAUGAGGUUGAAACCUUCAUUUGCUCGUAAGCUAAAUGAACAAGGAUUCAGCCCUAUCCACCUUGCUAUGCUAAACAGCCGAAAGUGGAUGGUGUUUAAUUUUGUUGACAUGAAGAAGCAACUUGUUACAGAUCAAGGAAGAGAAGGCUUAACUCCUCUUCAUUUAGCAAGUGAAAUUGGUGAUAUUGAAUUUUUAGCUAAGUUUAUUUAUGCUUGUCCAGAAUCAAUUGAAUGCUUGACUGCGAGGAAUGAGACUGCACUACAUAUUGCUAUUAAGAAUCAACAGUUUGAGGCUCUUCAAUUUCUUGUUGGCUGGCUCGUAAGAAAUGAGGAGAGAGGUGUUACAGAGUUGGAAAAUAAAAUACUUAACCAAAAGGAUGUGGAUGGAAACACUAUUUUGCACAUUUCAGCUCAAAGUAGUGAUCCACGGGUAACUUUCGUUUGUAUAUUUAUUUUGUUCUCCCCUCAAAUUAAAAACUAUAUGUAAAUGAUUCUCAUAUUUCUUAUUAUUUUACUUUGUAGCACAGACAGUUCGAUUGUUGGUAAAAGACUGGGAUAAAUUUGAAGGCAAAGAACUUAGACAACAAAACAACAUUAGACAUGGCAACCAAUGAAGGUGCAAAAAGUGGCUCACAAGUCAUUGACAUACGUUCACAAGAACUAAUAAUACCAAUGACGACACUAUAUGAUAAAAUGUUAAUUUUAUUACGUCGCCUUAGUAACGAUAUAUCAAAUAAUCAACGCGAAACUUUGCUGAUAGUUGUGACACUUGUUGCGACUGCCACUUAUGAAUCAGCAAUGAGUCCCCCUGGUGGAAUUUAUCAGGCUGAUGCUGGUGACAAUAAUGUGAAAAUCAGUUCCUCCAAUUCUACUAUUUCUAACCCAGGAAAUGUUGGGAAAUCGAUUUUGUCAAGACAUGAUUUCUUAGUGUUUUCAUUGAUGAAUAUGUUUUCUUUUUACGAAUCAAUUACAGUAAUAUUGUUUUUGAUGCCAGGUGGGAUAGUUGGCGCUCUACUGUUAGAUACAGUUAUUUUCUUUGUCGUGAGUUAUAUAAUUUUUCUGGUGAAAAUAUCCCCUACACAUUUCAAUGAGAUGAUCAUCCUGUAUGGUUUCAUCAUCAUCAUGUCUGCCGUAUUAUUUAUGUUCUACCAGAAACUUAAGAAAACACCAAUCAAGGGGGCAACACAGAUCAUACCACUGUCGUGCCGGCUGAAUUCACCAACAACAAUAUCUCCGUACAAUAAUUUCUAUUUUUCGUUCUUAACCUUUUUCUUGUUCAAUCUUACCAAAUUGUUAAUUACUAUAUCAUAUAUUGUAUUCUAUUCCAUCUAUGUGUAUUUAUUAUUAUUAUUAUUUAAAAUGAGAUUACUCAACAUGAUAUAUGUGUGAAUAGUCUUUUGAAUAACUUCUUUUUUUUUUAAGUGUAAUGGGAAAAGCCCCUAGCCUUUAGGGCCUAUUUGAAUGAAUUUAUGUUUUUAAUUUUUCAACAAUCUUUUACAAUUUAAUUUUAAAAACUCUUUAUAAGGAAAAAAAAAAAAACAAUCAAUGUUGUUUGGUAAUUCUAUUUUCAAACACCAUCUCCACCACCACGACCUACCGCUCCGGAAUUUUCUUCAUAAAAAAAAACUUUGUUCACCAUCGUGUCGUGUUCGUUGCUCUCUUAUAAUAAUCCUCCAUCAAAACGGAGAUCAAUGAGAAUCAUGGUUGGAGUUGGUAGCUCCAAGCAAUCCCAUAUUGUGGACACAACCAUUGAUACCAUCUCUGAUGACGAUUCUGGUUCAAAAUCACCACAAAAAUCCUUGAAACCAACCACUUCACCAUCAAAAUCAAUAUAAUGUCUUUUUCCGCCUUAAAAAAUACCACCUAAAAAGAGAAAAUGAGAUUUAACUAAAAAGCUUCGCUAUAAGAUUUUUUAUUAAAAUUGAGACACAUUAUCUUAUCUCAACCUUUAUUUGAAUAUUUUUUAUUUAUGAUAUUUAAUUAUUUACCAUAACUCAUUCAGCUAUCGUCCAAUGUUUUGUCUAUCAUGUCAUAAUUUUGAAAACAUGUAAUGUCAAUGAUUCUAAGAAGUACUCCCUCGAGUGACUAUUUUAGUUUUAAGUAAAAAAAAUUCUCUUGUUGUAUUAAAAAUAUAGUUAAAUGGCAAUUAAUUUUAUAUAUUUUACAUAAAAUAUAAGUUAAAUUUAUUAAAUUGUCAUUUUUAAUGUACAAUAUUCGACUAUUAAUAUUAAAUAUUUUGAUGUAAAUGGUGGAUUAAAAAUAGACAUGGCAACAGGCGGGACGGGGGCGAAAUAUAAAGUAUAUUUAAUAUGUCCAUGUGUAUAAAAUUUAAAAAUGAGAAUAAUAUUAUUAGCGGGACAUAUUCGAGUCCGAAUUCGGGGUGAAUGUCAACACACUCGCACUCGAUUAAAGCGAUUUUUCUCCGUCCAAAUUAAAACGAUUUCAAAUGGAUAUACGCGGAGGCGGAUUAUGUUGUCAUCUCUAAUUAAAAUAAUAAUAUUAAAUUAAUCAAAACUAUCUUAUAUUUAGGAUGCAAUGUUUUAAAUUUUUACAGAAUUAAAACAUAGAUAUAAAAACAUAUGUUAAAUUUCUUAGGUAAGUUUUGUCAUGUUAAUUGGUAGAGAUUAAUUGGAGAAAAUGUAUAUAUUUAACUAAAGCAAAUCUCGUUAGUGUAAAAUAGAAAAACAAAUACAAAUUAUUUUGUAAAUGUUUAAUGAAACCUAAUAUAUUUCCUAUUUUAAAUUGGACCACCAUCUCUAACCUUAAAUUUUAUAAAUAAAUAAAUAAAACAAAAUAAUUAAUUAAAGAAGGAUUUAUGUAAUGUAUAUUUGAAUAAUGAAGUUAUUUAAAAAAUGAAGGUGACCCACUAGGUUUUGGAUUUGGGCUUUGGGCCAAAAUAUUAGCGUCCAUUCCACGCAGAAUCUUAACUCCUAAUAACCCUAGUUUCUAGUUUACUUAUCUUGUUUUGAUUUUGAAAGAAUAAAAACCUACCAAUCACUCUCUAACCUCUCUCAUCUUUGCUCUUCGCCGUCACCGCAACCACCGUUCCCUCAAAUCAAAAUACCAUGUCGGACGAAGAGCACCAUUUCGAAUCCAAGGCCGACGCCGGAGCCUCCAAAACCUACCCUCAACAAGCCGGUACCAUCCGUAAAAACGGUUACAUCGUCAUCAAAAACCGUCCUUGCAAGGUCCGUAUCCACAUUCUAAUUCCUUUUUUAAUUAGGUUUUUACUAAAUUAAUCAUUGAUUUGAUUUCAUGUAUUUGAUUAGAUCCAGUUUUUCUGCUUCACUGUUUUGG